rnacentral:rRNA from 1 species
GGCUCAGGAUGAACGCUGGCGGUAUGCUUAACACAUGCAAGUCGAACGGAAGUCUUCGGACUUUAGUGGCGGACGGGUGAGUAACGCGUGAGAAUCUACCUUCAGGAUGGGGACAACAUUAGGAAACUGAUGUUAAUACCCAAUAUGCCGAGAGGUGAAAGGCUUGCUGCCUGAAGAAGAGCUCGCGUCUGAUUAGUUAGUUGGUGGGGUAAUGGCCUACCAAGGCGGCGAUCAGUAGCUGGUCUGAGAGGAUGAUCAGCCACACUGGGACUGAGACACGGCCCAGACUCCUACGGGAGGCAGCAGUGGGGAAUUUUCCGCAAUGGGCGAAAGCCUGACGGAGCAAUACCGCGUGAGGGAGGAAGGCUUUUGGGUUGUAAACCUCUUUUAUUCGGGAAGAAGAACUGACGGUACCGAAUGAAUCAGCAUCGGCUAACUCCGUGCCAGCAGCCGCGGUAAUACGGAGGAUGCAAGCGUUAUCCGGAUUUAUUGGGCGUAAAGCGUCCGCAGGUGGUUUAUCAAGUCUGCUGUCAAAGCGCGGAGCUUAACUCCGUAAGGGCGGUGGAAACUGGUAGACUAGAGUCUGGUAGGGGUCACGGGAAUUCCCAGUGUAGCGGUGAAAUGCGUAGAUAUUGGGAAGAACACCGGCGGCGAAAGCGCGUGACUGGACCGGAACUGACACUGAGGGACGAAAGCUAGGGGAGCGAAAGGGAUUAGAUACCCCUGUAGUCCUAGCCGUAAACGAUGGAAACUAGGUGUUGCCCGUAUCGACCCGGGCAGUGCCGUAGCUAACGCGUUAAGUUUCCCGCCUGGGGAGUACGCACGCAAGUGUGAAAACUCAAUGA